UUAAUGUGCUUUACUUUAGUU
rnacentral:piRNA from 1 species